rnacentral:rRNA from 1 species
AAAACGGAGAGUUUGAUCCUGGCUCAGGAUGAACGCUGGCGGUAUGCUUAACACAUGCAAGUCGAACGGUGUCUUCGGACACAGUGGCGGACGGGUGAGUAACGCGUGAGAAUCUGGCUCUAGGUCUGGGACAACCACUGGAAACGGUGGCUAAUACCGGAUGUGCCGAGAGGUGAAAGGUUAACUGCCUAGAGAUGAGCUCGCGUCUGAUUAGCUAGUAGGUAGUGUAAUGGACUACCUAGGCGACGAUCAGUAGCUGGUUUGAGAAGACGAUCAGCCACACUGGGACUGAGACACGGCCCAGACUCCUACGGGAGGCAGCAGUGGGGAAUUUUCCGCAAUGGGCGAAAGCCUGACGGAGCAAUACCGCGUGAGGGAGGAAGGCUCUUGGGUCGUAAACCUCUUUUCUCAGGGAAGAACACAAUGACGGUACCUGAGGAAUAAGCAUCGGCUAACUCCGUGCCAGCAGCCGCGGUAAUACGGAGGAUGCAAGCGUUAUCCGGAAUGAUUGGGCGUAAAGCGUCCGCAGGUGGCAAUGUAAGUCUGCUGUUAAAGAGUCUAGCUCAACUAGAUACAAGCAGUGGAAACUACAUAGCUAGAGUACGUUCGGGGCAGAGGGAAUUCCUGGUGUAGCGGUGAAAUGCGUAGAGAUCAGGAAGAACACCGGUGGCGAAGGCGCUCUGCUAGGCCGUAACUGACACUGAGGGACGAAAGCUAGGGGAGCGAAUGGGAUUAGAUACCCCAGUAGUCCUAGCCGUAAACGAUGGAUACUAGGCGUGGCUUGUAUCGACCCGAGCCGUGCCGUAGCUAACGCGUUAAGUAUCCCGCCUGGGGAGUACGCCGGCAACGGUGAAACUCAAAGGAAUUGACGGGGGCCCGCACAAGCGGUGGAGUAUGUGGUUUAAUUCGAUGCAACGCGAAGAACCUUACCAAGGCUUGACAUGUCGCGAAUCCUGGUGAAAGCCGGGAGUGCCUUCGGGAGCGCGAACACAGGUGGUGCAUGGCUGUCGUCAGCUCGUGUCGUGAGAUGUUGGGUUAAGUCCCGCAACGAGCGCAACCCUCGUUUUUAGUUGCCAGCAUUAAGUUGGGCACUCUAGAGAGACUGCCGGUGACAAACCGGAGGAAGGUGGGGAUGACGUCAAGUCAGCAUGCCCCUUACGCCUUGGGCUACACACGUACUACAAUGCUCCGGACAGAGGGCAGCAAGCAUGCGAAUGCAAGCAAAUCCCGUAAACCGGAGCUCAGUUCAGAUCGCAGGCUGCAACUCGCCUGCGUGAAGGAGGAAUCGCUAGUAAUUGCAGGUCAGCAUACUGCAGUGAAUUCGUUCCCGGGCCUUGUACACACCGCCCGUCACACCAUGGAAGCUGGUAGUGCCCGAAGUCAUUACUCCAACCUUUCGGGGAGGAGGAUGCCUAAGGCAGGACUGGUGACUGGGGUGAAGUCGUAACAAGGUAGCCGUACCGGAAGGUGUGGCUGGAUCACCUCCUUU